GCCUUCCCUGGAUCUUCCUACUGUGACAGGACUGCUGAAAGGUCAACAUGAGAGAUGGUGGUGAAAGGAAAGCAUGCGAAGUAGCUUUUCGCUUCUUCAGGCUACUUCAUAUAAAGACAUAGACUCCUGGUUGCAGCUUCACAUAUGGAGUGGAUUAGAAGUGCUGGUAAACUACAACAUCAGGAUGGGGGUUGUGUUUUAGAUACCCAAGAAAGCAAAAGGAAACACCGAAGGUCUGAAAGAGAAUCAAGUGAAUAUUCUAACAGCAAAUCAACUUCAUAAAUGGAGAGGCAAAGAAACUCUAGGCAAUGAGGAAGGCAGCCUAUAGGGCAAGAUGUCCAAGAAGGUUAAAACUAAGGGUAUGAAGAGACAUGUUUGGCUUUUAACAGA